CUUUUAUUUCUCUUGCCACAACCCCUGGCUGAUCCGGUCCCGGAAUUGUGCAGACACCGGCACAACAAGGCACAGGCUGAGUCACAGAUUGCAAGGGAAGGUGAAACACGUACUGAUCCAGUGGAGAAACUGCAGUUCCUGGUGCAGAUGUGCACAUACUGCCUACUUUAUUCCUGGGUUUUCUUUUUCAGAGCGGAACAACACAUUUAAAAAAGAAACCUUUACCUUGUUGCUACGCAAACACGAAUUGGUGUUAUUAUAUCCCCAGAAAGCAGAACAACAAUAUUGCAAAGGAAGGUCAAGAGGAAAAGCGCUCUAGCAAGGCUGAGAAGGAGCAACAAAAUUCUCAACAGAGACCAAAAGCAUCUGACA
rnacentral:lncRNA from 1 species